rnacentral:pre_miRNA from 1 species
AGUGGAAUUGCUGGGUCAUAUGAUAAUUCUAUAUUUAAGUUUUUGAGGAAUUGACAAACUGUUUUCCAAAGCUUCUGCACCAUCUUUCAUUCCCACCAGCAAU